ensembl:lncRNA
CUGCAGUCCAAAGACAACAGGGCAGCAGCACCAGGCCAGCCACUCCUGCUUCAGGAGAGUCCUCAGAGGAAGAGUGACCAGGGUCAUAUUCAUUAGUGCACACUGUAGCAAAACUAUUUGCAGCCAAAAACAACUGUUUCUUAUCUGAUAAGUCCAGGUAGUCCCUCCAUUCCAGGAAAUGUUUUACUGUAGUACCAUAAGGGCACAUUUGAAUGAUGGUACUUAAUCUUGUGGGGGAGGGGUACUGUAAAUGAACCUCCAGUCAGUGAAGCUUGAGGUAAAACGCCAGUGUAAACAACUAUAGGAAAAUGUCCGAAUAAAGUACCUUGAGAAAUAAGCCUCAUAACUUAUCCCAUGACCCCCUAAACUUCUGUCUACCAUCUCCAGCCCCACAGCAGUAUGUUGUUUUCUUUCAGUCAGAGUUAGACCCACCCAUAAUAUUUUAAAUAGAUAUGCCUCUGCUUGUUUAGUCUCCAUCAAAUGUUUGGCACCAGUACUAAAACAGACAGCACAGGCUGUAGUGUGGUACGGGACGUUUGUUUUUAGCUUGAGGUUGGCCAUUUGGAAGCGCUGCAUCGUCGGUUGAGGUAGAAAGACAUUUCCAAAAGUAUCAUUGUAUGAAAGUUUAUUCCAUAGCUUACACGUAUUUAAAAAUAUGUAAACAAGGAUGUACAAAACAAGAACAAAACUAGACACUUGCCCUCCCAAGAUGGGGUUGUGCCAUUUGUAGUUUGAGAUGCAUAACAUUAGUCACUUCAAAUAAAAAUGUAUUUUUUAAAAACUAUCCAUUGAUAUCAUUGACAUCUUGUCAAGUCAAAUAACUGAGGCACCUUUCACUGUAAACCAUGGAGAUAUGAGGUGCCCAAUGAAUACAACCCUGACGUGGUGGUCAGAAGUAUAUUGUAUGGAAUGAGCGGAUGUGGCAUGAGAAUGUGUGUGUGUAGACAGGUAUUUGAGCUUGGGGCCAGGACGCCAACACACUAAUGCUAUGAAACAUGCAGAGUCAUGAGGUUAGGUUAAGCCAGACUGAGGGGAGAGAGUGGGCAGAGCCAAGGAGGAUACGAGAACUUUAAUGUCCCCAUAGGAAUGCAGGUGCACUGUCGAAGUUCCGUACACUGCAAACCAACAUUCCUGCCCCACACAUGCCGCCCCCAAAAAAAAUAAAAUAAAAUAAAUUUAAAAAAAUCACCCACCCAGGGUUAUACUUCACCCACACAGGAAUAAUGAGGAACAAGCAGGAUCAUGGGUGAGUGAUUUUUCCACAUAAUUGCAAAUAUAUACAUACAUCAAUGGAGGCUGCUGAGGGGAGGACGACUCAUAAUAAUGGCCGUAACGGAGCAAAUGGAAUGGCAUCAAACACCUGGAGACCAUGUGUUUGAUGUAUUUGUUACCAUUCCGCUCCAGUCAUUCUCCACAAUUAAUGCGCCACCAACCUCCUGUGGUGCAAAAAAUAUCUGUGUCAGUGAGUCAGACACCAAAGCCUAUAAUCCAAACUAUAGGUUGUUGUAAUGUUGCAUUACUCUGCUCUGCCCUAAACAGAAUACACUAUGUGUCACGCCCUGAUCUGUUUCACCUGUCCUUGUGAUUAUCUCCACCCCACUCCAGGUGUCGCUGAUUUUCC